rnacentral:tRNA from 1 species
GCCGCCGUAGCUCAGCGGAAGAGCGCCGCGCCCAACGCGGAGGCCGCAGGUUCGAAUCCUGCCGGCGGCUCCA